rnacentral:rRNA from 1 species
AAGUUAGUCGAACGGGCUCUUCGGAGCUAGUGGCGAACGGGUGAGGAACACGUAAGAAACCUGCCCCAAAGUCGAGGAUAACUGUUGGAAACGAUAGCUAAUACUGGAUACGACACGAGAUCGCAUGAUUCUUGUGUUAAAAGGCGCUCUUAAGCGCCGCUAUGGGAUGGUCUUGCGCAGCAUUAGCUAGUUGGUAGGGUAACGGCCUAUCCAAGGCGACGAUGCUUAGCUGGUCUGAGAGGACGAACAGCCACACUGGGACUGAGACACGGCCCAGACUCCUACGGGAGGCAGCAGUAGGGAAUUUUCGGCAAUGGUUCAAGCCAUUAACCCGAGCAAUUCAGCCGCGUGAAUGAUGAAGGUCUUCGGAUCGUAAAGUUCUGUUGUUAAGGAAGAACACGCAGAUUAGUAUAAAUGAGUCUGCGCUGACGGUACUUAUACCAGAAAGCUCCGGCUAACUACGUGCCAGCAGCCGCGGUAAUACGUAGGGAGCGAGCGUUAUCCGGAAUUAUUGGGCGUAAAGCGUGCGAUUACGGCGCUUUGUUAAGUCAAAUGUGAAAGCCGUCAGCUUAACUGAGGAUGGUCAUUUGAAACUGGCAGAAUUGAGUACGGCAGAGGUUAGUGGAAUUCAAUGUUUAGCGCCGGAUGCGGGGAUAUCUGAGGAACACCAAGUGGCGAAGGCGGCUAACUGGACCGGAACUGACGCUGGUGCACGAAAGCGUGGGGAGCAAACAUGGAUUAGAUACCCUGGUAGUCCACGCCGUAAACGAUCAGAACUAAGUGUUGGGGUUACCCAGUGCUGAAGCUAACGCAUUAAGUUCUCCGCCUGGGGAGUACGACCGCAAGGUUGAAACUCAAAGGAAUUGACGGGUCUCCGCGCAAGCGGUGGAGCAUGUUGUUUAAUUCGACAAUACGCGAAGAACCUUACCAGGUCUUGACAUCUUCUUGAUCACUAUAGAGAUAUAGUUUCCCUUCGGGGCAAGAAUGACAGGUGGUGCAUGGUUGUCGUCAGCUCGUGUCGUGAGAAUAUUGGGUUAAGUCCCGCAACGAGCGCAACCCCUAUUGAUAGUUGCUAACAUUUAGAUUAGGGACCACUAUCGAGACUGCCAGUGAUAAACUGGAGGAAGGUGGGGAUGACGUCAAAUCAUCAUGCCCCUUAUGACCUGGGCUACAAUACGUGCUACAAUGGCCAGUACAGAGAGUUGCCAAACCGUAAGGUGGAGCUAACCUUCAAAACUGGUCUCAGUUCGGAUUGAAUUCUGCAACUCGACUUCAUGAAGAUAUGGAAUCGCUAGUAAUUGUGGGUCAGAAUACAACGGUGAAUACGUUCUCGGAGAUUUGUCACACCGCCCGUCAUACCAUGAGAGUUUGUAACAUACCCCGAA